rnacentral:siRNA from 1 species
GCCCGUCUAGCUCAGUUGG